AUUGAACGCUGGCGGCAGGCCUAACACAUGCAAGUCGAACGGUAACAGGGAUCAGCUUGCUGAUUCGCUGACGAGUGGCGGACGGGUGAGUAAUGUCUGGGAAACUGCCUGAUGGAGGGGGAUAACUACUGGAAACGGUAGCUAAUACCGCAUAACGUCGCAAGAUCAAAGAGGGGGACCUUCGGGCCUCUUGCCAUCGGAUGUGCCCAGAUGGGAUUAGCUAGUAGGUGGGGUAACGGCUCACCUAGGCGACGAUCCCUAGCUGGUCUGAGAGGAUGACCAGCCACACUGGAACUGAGACACGGUCCAGACUCCUACGGGAGGCAGCAGUGGGGAAUAUUGCACAAUGGGCGCAAGCCUGAUGCAGCCAUGCCGCGUGUAUGAAGAAGGCCUUCGGGUUGUAAAGUACUUUCAGCGGGGAGGAAGGGAGUAAAGUUAAUACCUUUGCUCAUUGACGUUACCCGCAGAAGAAGCACCGGCUAACUCCGUG
rnacentral:rRNA from 1 species